AAGGUGAAACCGAAAAACCUUUAAAAUAGAGUAGGAU
rfam:Polaribacter sp. SA4-12 genome.